rnacentral:rRNA from 1 species
UACGGAGGAGGCAAGCGUUAUCCGGAAUUAUUGGGCGUAAAGCGUCCGCAGGUGGCUAUUCAAGUCUGCGGUCAAAGACUGGGGCUUAACCCUGGAAAGGCCGUGGAAACUGAAUAGCUAGAGUGCAGUAGGGGUAGAGGGAAUUCCCGGUGUAGCGGUGAAAUGCGUAGAGCUCGGGAAGAACAUCGGUGGCGAAAGCGCUCUGCUGGACUGCAACUGACACUCAGGGACGAAAGCUAGGGGAGCGAAUGGG